UGGGGAAUAUUGGACAAUGGGCGAAAGCCUGAUCCAGCCAUGCCGCGUGAGUGAAAAAGGCCUUAGGGUUGUAAAGCUCUUUCGGCAGGGAAGAUAAUGACGGUACCUGCAGAAGAAGCUCCGGCUAACUCCGUGCCAGCAGCCGCGGUAAUACGGAGGGGGCUAGCGUUGCUCGGAAUUACUGGGCGUAAAGCGAGCGUAGGCGGCUAAACAAGUUGGGGGUGAAAGCCCGGAGCUCAACUCCGGAACUGCCUCCAAAACUGGUUAGCUAGAGUCCGAGAGAGGAAAGUGGAAUUCCCAGUGUAGGGGUGAAAUUCGUAGAUAUUGGGAAGAACACCAGUGGCGAAGGCGACUUUCUGGAUCGGUACUGACGCUAAGGCUCGAAAGCGUGGGGAGCAAACAGG
rnacentral:rRNA from 1 species